UUUAACAAAUAAUGUGCGGGUCGCUAUGCGGCGUGCACACGUUGAUGAGCUUUUCCGAAAAAACCAGGUUUUUUUGGUGGCGCAUAAUGAACAGCGUGGGCUUUUUCUUUCGAUUCUCGUGUAGUAAGUAAAUUUUCGACGCUUGGGUUGAGAAAAAGUGCGUGCCGCGCAAUGGGUGUGGCGAAUUUACCCCUGCCCCAAUGCCACUCUUUCCCUGCGAAAGAAGAUUUUUUAU
rnacentral:misc_RNA from 1 species